UACAGAGGUCUCAACCGUUGUUCGGAUUCAUUGGGCGUAAAGGGUGCGUAGGCGGUCGCGUAAGUCAGGUGUGAAAUCCCGGGGCUCAACCCCGGAACUGCAUUUGAUACUGCGUGGCUCGGGUACUGGAGAGGAGACUGGAAUUUACGGUGUAGCAGUGAAAUGCGUAGAUAUCGUAAGGAAGACCAGUGGCGAAGGCGAGUCUCUGGACAGUUACCGACGCUGAGGCACGAAGGUCAGGGGAGCAAACGGG
rnacentral:rRNA from 1 species